GGUUCUCGUUAGAUCACCGAAGUUAAGCAUCAUUGGGCGCGGUCAGUACUUGGGUGGGUGACCACUUGGGAACACUGCGUGCCGUU